UGUGGGAUAGCUGGGUCAAAUGGUGGUUCCAUUCCCAGUUUUUAAGGAUUCUCCAUACUACUUUCAAUAUUGGUUGCACCAAUCUGCAGUUCCACAAGCAAU
rnacentral:pre_miRNA from 1 species